rnacentral:rRNA from 1 species
AUACGUAGGCGGCAAGCGUUGUCCGGAUUUACUGGGUGUAAAGGGCGUGUAGGCGGAGAUGCAAGUCAGGAGUGAAAUCUAGGGGCUCAACCCCUAAACUGCUUUUGAAACUGUAUCCCUUGAGUAUCGGAGAGGCAGGAGGAAUUCCCAGUGUAACGGUGAAAUGCGUAGAUAUUAGGAAGAACACCCGUGGCGAAGGCGACCGGCUGUGCGAAAACUGACGCUGAGGCGCGAAAGCGUGGGUAGCAAACAGGAUUAGAUACCCUGGUAGUCCACGCUGUAAACGAUGAAUACUAGGUGUUGGGGGACUGACCCCCUCCGUGCCGCAGUUAACACAAUAAGUAUUCCACCUGGGGAGUACGAGCGCAAGAUUGAAACUCAAAGGAAUUGGCGGGG